rnacentral:rRNA from 1 species
CUACGGGCGGCAGCAGUGAGGAAUAUUGCACAAUGGGGGGAACCCUGAUGAAGCAACGCCGCGUGGAGGAUGACGCAUUUCGGUGUGUAAACUCCUUUUAUAUGUCAAGAAAAUGACGGUAGCAUAUGAAUAAGCACCGGCUAACUCCGUGCCAGCAGCCGCGGUAAUACGGAGGGUGCAAGCGUUACUCGGAAUCACUGGGCGUAAAGGACGCGUAGGCGGGUUGGAAAGUCAGGUGUGAAAUCCUACAGCUUAACUGUAGAACUGCACUUGAAACUUCUAAUCUAGAGUAUGGGAGGGGGAGUAGGAAUUAGUGGUGUAGGGGUAAAAUCCGUAGAUAUCACUAGGAAUACCUAAAGCGAAGGCGAUCUCCUGGAACAUUACUGACGCUAAGGCGUGAAAGCGUGGGGAGCAAACAGGAUUAGAUACCCCUGUAGUC